CCCGGCUCCCCACCUGCAGGGGAGUCACUUCACAAGCGGUGAAGCAGGUGUCUGCAGAUGUGUCUUUCUCUCCCCUUCUGUCUUCCCCUCCUCUCUCCAUUUCUCUCUGUCUUAUCCAACAACAACGACAUUAGUAACAACAACAAGGGCAACAAAAAGGAAUAAAUAUUAAAAAAAAAAAUUUUAAAUAUUAAAGGAGACCAUGUUACCGCAGGUUGGAAAACAUUUAUUUUUAUUUCAACACAGUAGUAGUCAAAAACUUGAUGUUUGUACUUUUGCUUUGUACAGCAACCAAAAUUACUUGAAAAUUCUUUUUUAUUUCUGAGUCCACAUUUCACCUAUGUAACAAAUUAAUAAAAUUUGGCUUAAAUUAUUUUUAUACAACUACAGAUCUGAGUAACUUCUGUUCUGUUUAUACAAUAACAUUUGAGAUAAAUUCUACAAGGAAACAUGAAUAAAAAUUGUUCAAAUUUAUUAGUA